CCCACAUCCCUUUGGUUACCUUUCCAAAAACACCGUAACCAAAGUAAAAUAUCGUUAGAACUCAUAAAUGCUCAUGAAAAGUAACCUCACAAUAACCUUGGACAGCGUUCACCGGGAACAGGCUCCACCUACUGCUGGUGUUGCUAACCAGGCUAACCAAAAAGCACUGAAUUGCACAUCCAUUCUUUUCAUACUUUUUACGCACAGAAUUUCUAGGCGCAGCCAAGGCGUCGAGGGGGGACAGUUUGGGGAGCCUUAGGAUCCCGUCUCUGCUAUUUGCAGAUGAUGUGGUCCUGAUGGCCUCAUCAGGCUGUGACCUUCAACGUUUACCGGGGUGCUUUGCAGCUGAGGUUGAAUCUUCUGGGAUGAGACUCAAUCAGAGGCCGUGGCUCUUACUCGGAAAAGGGUGGAUUGCACCUUUGGGGUUGGGAGUGAGGUCUUGCCCCAGGUGGAGGAGCAGUAUCUCGAGUGAGGGAAGGUUGGAGUGUGAGAUACAGGCGGGUCAGUUCUGCAGUAAUGCAGUCGCUGUACUGGACCGUCGUGAAGGGAGAACUGAGUCAGAAGGCAAAGCUCUCAAUUUAGAGGGUUGAUCUAUGUUCUCACCCUCAUCUAUGGUCAUGAGCUUUGGGUUGUGACCAAAAGAACGAGAUUGUGGAUUCAAGCAGAUGAAAUGCGUUUCUUCCAUCGGGUGGCUGGACCUGGACUCAUUUGGUCAUCUCUGAGUAGAACCACUGCUCCUUCACAUCGAGAGGAGGCAGUUGACGUGGCAUCCAGUCCAGAUGCCCCCUGGACGCCUCCCUGGUGAGGUGUCCUGGGCAUGCCCAGCCGCUGGAGGGAUCAAGUCUCACAGCGGGCCUGGGAAUGUCUCGAUGCCCUCCUGGUGGAACUGGAAGAGCUGGCCAGGGAUCGGUAAGUGUGGACUUCCCUACUGAGAUUCUUCAAUCAUGUUGUAUCCAACUAAUUCAUGUUCAUACUCUACACCCCCAUGGAGGAACAGCCCAGCGAAACGAUGAACACAUACAAGAAUGUAUUCAUGAAGCGCUGUUUUCAUUCUUACGUCUGACGCGGAAGUGACAGGAAGAAAAGCUCUGACUCGCUUCGGUAGAAGUCGUUUGAAAUCUCUACAUAAGAUGACCAGUCUGGAACCAUGCAUUGUCCUGGCCUAGUUUGGGGCCUGGUACCCUCUUUGGAGCCAUCCAUGAUCCAUAUGUGCUGGAAAAAAUUACACCUACCAGGGAAACACCAGGAAAAAUCUGUAUCACUGUAUCACUAUCUGACCCAUGCAGCAGAGAAAGGACAGGGAGAGUCGGCAGGAGCACAGUCAAAGACAUUUAGGACAUUACUCAAGAUAACGUAAGGAUUAUGAUACCAGCUUACCUAUAUAUAUUUGUUUUGCAAUUAAAUCCCUACUCUGUAUUAAAUAUAAAAUGCUAACAUUUUAUUAUUAUUCGUUCCCUUACAUACAGGAUUUUAAUGAUUUUAUAUUAUCUUUCAGAUUUUUUUUGUAUUUAUUUGUAAUUUGUUAAGUGUGUAAAUUGGCUGAAACGUUAUCUUACAAAUUCAAGACAACGGUAAAAACAAUGCCAUUCAAUGUCUUUUGCAUCUUUUAGUAAACCGGGCUUUCUCCUACUCCUUUUCGGACACGUACAACGUGAUGGUCUGUCAUAUAAACCCUGACCAUUCCCACAAAACCAGGCUGCACAUCUCUCAGCUGAAUGUCCACGCAGCACCCGAGCGCUAGUGCUAAUGGCUUGGUGCGUAAGAAUGAUGUGAUGGAUGGCGGGGGAGACGUGCAGAGCAGGGUGCAACAUCGUGG